AUCCUUUUCUGGUUCAUGACCAUGAUGACUGGGUGUUCACAUGGCUGUAUGAGAUGUGCUUCCCUUAAAUCUUGUUACACAUUGACACAUUACCCGUCUGACG
ensembl:snoRNA